rnacentral:rRNA from 2 species
GAUUAAGUUAUUAAGGGCGCACGGUGGAUGCCUUGGCACUAGAAGCCGAUGAAGGACGUUACUAACGACGAUAUGCUUUGGGGAGCUGUAAGUAAGC